rnacentral:rRNA from 1 species
UUCAUGAAAGUGGCGCACGGGUGCKUAACACGUAUGCAACCUACCUCUUACAGGGGGAUAGCCCGGGGAAACUCGGAUUAAUACCCCAWGGUACUAURGAUUGGCAUCAUGAAAUAGUUAAAGAUUCAUCGGUAAGAGAUGGGCAUGCGUCUGAUUAGCUAGUUGGCGGUGUAACGGACCACCAAGGCGACGAUCAGUAGGGGUUCUGAGAGGAAGGUCCCCCACACUGGCACUGAGAUACGGGCCAGACUCCUACGGGAGGCAGCAGUAGGGAAUAUUGGGCAAUGGACGAGAGUCUGACCCAGCCAUGCCGCGUGCAGGAAGACGGCCUAUUGGGUUGUAAACUGCUUUUAUCUGGGAAGAAAAGGCCCAUGSGUGGGACAWUGCCGGUACCAGAUGAAUAAGCACCGGCUAACUCCGUGCCAGCAGCCGCGGUAAUACGGAGGGUGCAAGCGUUGUCCGGAUUUAUUGGGUUUAAAGGGUGCGUAGGCGGCCAAUUAAGUCAGUGGUGAAAGACUUCGGCUCAACCGGAGCAGUGCCAUUGAUACUGGUUGGCUUGAGUGCUGCAGGGGUACAUGGAAUUGAUGGUGUAGCGGUGAAAUGCAUAGAUACCAUCAGGAACACCGAUAGCGAAGGCAUUGUACUGGGCAGCAACUGACGCUGAUGCACGAAAGCAUGGGUAGCGAACAGGAUUAGAUACCCUGGUAGUCCAUGCCGUAAACGAUGAUUACUCGCUGUUAUGCCUUUAUGGUGUAGCGGCCAAGCGAAAGC